rnacentral:ncRNA from 1 species
UUGAGCCGUACGAGACGAAAUUCUCAUGUACAGUUCUUGGAGAGAGGUUCGGGUUAGUUACCUAUCUCAAU